GGUGAGUAAUGUCUGGGAAACUGCCUGAUGGAGGGGGAUAACUACUGGAAACGGUAGCUAAUACCGCAUAACGUCGCAAGACCAAAGAGGGGGACCUUCGGGCCUCUUGCCAUCGGAUGUGCCCAGAUGGGAUUAGCUAGUAGGUGGGGUAAAGGCUCACCUAGGCGACGAUCCCUAGCUGGUCUGAGAGGAUGACCAGCCACACUGGAACUGAGACACGGUCCAGACUCCUACGGGAGGCAGCAGUGGGGAAUAUUGCACAAUGGGCGCAAGCCUGAUGCAGCCAUGCCGCGUGUAUGAAGAAGGCCUUCGGGUUGUAAAGUACUUUCAGCGGGGAGGAAGGGAGUAAAGUUAAUACCUUUGCUCAUUGACGUUACCCGCAGAAGAAGCACCGGCUAACUCCGUGCCAGCAGCCGCGGUAAUACGGAGGGUGCAAGCGUUAAUCGGAAUUACUGGGCGUAAAGCGCACGCAGGCGGUUUGUUAAGUCAGAUGUGAAAUCCCCGGGCUCAACCUGGGAACUGCAUCUGAUACUGGCAAGC
rnacentral:rRNA from 1 species